rnacentral:rRNA from 1 species
GACGAACGCUGGCGGCGUGCCUAAUACAUGCAAGUAGAACGCAGUUGCGAACGGGUGAGUAACGCGUAGGUAACUUCCUGGUAGCGGGGGAUAACUAUUGGAAACGAUAGCUAAUACCGCAUACUACCAGAUCGACCUGCGUUGUAUUAGCUAGUUGGUGGGGUAACGGCUCACCAAGGCAACGCUACCUAGCCGACCUGAGAGGGGGAUCGGCCACACUGGGACUGAGACACGGCCCAUGAUCCGACGGGAGGGAGCAGUAGGGAAUUUUCGGCAAUGGGGGGAAGGCUGAACGAGCAACGCCGCGGGGGUGAAGAAGGUUUUCGGAGCGUAAAGCUAUUUUGUAAGAGAAGCGGUAUCUUACCAGAAAGGGACGGCUAACUACGUGCCAGCAGCCGCGGUAAUUC